ACUAUCCUUUUCUUGGGGCUGUGCUACUGUCCAAUGAGCGCAUAGUAAGGGCAGUACUGCUAACAACUAACAUGCUCGCAUCAGGAGCUUUGCUUUAUAUUGGUGCAAUUUUUGGAAAA
ensembl:snRNA